rnacentral:misc_RNA from 1 species
CCGAACGGCCCCUUGGGGCCUUCGACCCUUCAAACCCGUGGAAGCAAACUCCGUGCUUCGGCGCCCAGCGCGUCGGCUUUAUGCGCACAAGGCUUUGCGUCUGAAUCAUAAACAAGAAUUA